rnacentral:siRNA from 1 species
UGAAGCCGAGUGAUGUGACCAA